rnacentral:rRNA from 1 species
UACGUAGGGUGCGAGCGUUAAUCGGAAUUACUGGGCGUAAAGCGUGCGCAGGCGGUUCGUUUUGUCCGAUGUGAAAGCCCCGAGCUCAACUUGGGAAUGGCAUUGGAAACUGGCGGGCUGGAGUGUGGCAGAGGGGGGUGGAAUUCCACGUGUAGCAGUGAAAUGCGUAGAGAUGUGGAGGAACACCGAUGGCGAAGGCAGCCCCCUGGGCCAACACUGACGCUCAGGCACGAAAGCGUGGGGAGCAAACAGG